UGGUGAUUAACCGAUGUGCCAAGCCGUA
rnacentral:piRNA from 1 species